GCGAACCUGAAUAGAAGAAGAAGAAAGAGAAGAGAAGAGUAAUUUUUUUUAGGAAAUGUUGGUUCUGUUUUCUGUUCUGGUUGACUAAAGGAGGUUAUGUCAAGCUGAUUAUUGGGAAGCAUAAAACGUUUUAGAUUUUAGUAGGGGUUUGUUAAUAUUACGACGAGCAAUUCUGUUUGCUAAGGGAAGGAGAAUGAACUUCAUUGUGAACAUCGUUCGACAGUCCAUCACCAAUGUGAAUCCUCCUGUGAACAGUGUCACUCAGGUAGCGAAGACAUUGUUACAACCAGUGUUGCCAACAUUGAACUUUGUCAAUGGAUUUAAGAUGCGUUACGCAGUGAAACGGAGGUGCCGAGACUGCUGGUUGGAGAUUAGAGACGGUAGAAUUUACAAUCUUUGCUUAACUCAUCCGAGGCACAAGCAGAUGGGACUGAAAACGCACGAUAAAAAGAAAAGGAUCCUCACGUGGGCAGGUAUGAGCAAGAGGCGUGCUUGGUAAACGUUUAUUUGUAUUAGCUUAGUAGGUAUUGUAAAUAUAUUUUUGUUCAAAAUGUU